rnacentral:lncRNA from 1 species
AUUCCUCUACCAACACCUCUAUACACCACAUCUGAAACCCCACCUUCAACGACUAGAACAUCUCAACCACUCCCAAAAUUAUCUUCUAUUCCUCUACCAACACCUCUAUACACCACAUCUGAAACCCCACCUUCAACGACUAGAACAUCUCAACCACUCCCAAAAUUCAAUCUCACCACUACCUCAUUACCCAUAUCUGAAGCUG